AUGGUUGUAGUUGUAGUUGCAGGUGUGCUGCUCGUCGGGAUCAUCGUGAAUCUGACGGGCUUCACUGAAUGCGUCUCUGGUCUCGAGGGUUUGCUGGGUUUCUUGGGUCGGUUGGGUUUGAUGGCUGUCCGUGGCGCUUUAGUGCUGCUGCUUUUAGUGGAGGAGGACUGUGUGGUGCUGGUUGUAGUUGUUGGUGCUGGUGUCGUGGGUGUAGUUGUGGCUGUCAUUGCAGGUGUUGUGGGUGUAGUAGUUGUGGGUGUAGUCAUGGUGGUGGGUGUAGUUGUGGGUGUAGUUGUAGUUGUGGGUGUAGUCAUGGUGGUGGGUGUAGUUGUAGUUGUGGGUGUAGUCGUGGUGGCGGGUGUAGUUGUUAUGGUGGGUGUAGUUGUAGGUGUAGUUGUGGGUGUAGUUGUGGUGGUGGGUGUAGUUGUAGGUGUAGUUGUGGGUGUAGUCAUGGUGGUGGGUGUAGUCGUGGGUGUAGUUGUGGUGGUGGGUGUAGUCGUGGUGGUGGUCGGCUGAGGCGCUGCAAGUUUGGCUGUAAUUCUUCCACUUCCUUUAGUUGUUGGAUGAGUUAAACCUGAAAAAAAAUCAAAUCAAUAGCAGAAACCAAAGAAUGUUAUUUUAGUUUCACUGAAGAUACUAUUGUAGUUUUUUUUAUUAAUAUUCUGAAUUAGUUUUAAUAUUUUUCAUUUUCAUUUCAUUCAGCUAACCUAACCCAAGUGGUGUUCAUUUAAAGUCACAGCAGACCAGUCAAGUUCUUCCACACUGACUCAAUCAGUCAUUUCUUUCUGAACCUUGCCUUAUACACAGAGGCACUGUCAUGUUACUCUCAGACCCAUGGUGCAUACAGAUAACACUAACAGUACAGCCUAAAAAUACAGAUAGAUACAGAUUAAAUAUAAAAUACAACUAUACAAAUAAGAGCAUGUAAAAUAAAAAAAUAAAAAAAUUAAAUUAAAUGAAGCAGUGCAAGGCACAUGGCAGAUAGAGUGCAAACCAUUGAAGUGAACAAACAGUGCAGAUAAAAAGAUUGUAGUGCAAAAAAAGCUUAUUCAGUCUGAUUAAAGUGACAAAGGGCUCAGAGAGCAGUUCUUUUGUUUAAACUGACCGAAGAGGUGGUAGAAUGACGUCAGUUCUAUGCUGAAUGAGGUAGUGAGCAGACCAAUGCUGCACAAAGUGACUGGUGCAUGUCAUCGUAUGUUAGUGGCGGGGGGGAUUGGAAAGACCUGGGGGUGUUGGAUCUGGGGGGGGCGGGGGGGUCAUAGUUCAGUGGUGCCUGGGGCAGAAGAGGGAAGGGGGGGCAAGUUCGGGAGGGAGUUCAGCUUCCUGACAGCCUGAUGAAUGAAGCUGUCCUUCAGUCUGCUGGUCCUGGCCAUGAUCUUCUCAGGUGCUCUCUCUAUGCGUUGAAGGGUCUUCCGGCAGGACGUGUUGCAGGCGCCAUACCACACAGUGAUGCAGCCAGUCAGGAUGCUCUCGAUGGUGCCUCUGUAGAAGGUGUACAUGAUGGGGGUGGGGCUCUGGCUCUCCUCAGUUUGCAGAGGAAGUAGAGACGCUGCUGUGAUUUCUUGGCCAGUGCUGCGGUGUUGUCGGUCCAGGAGAGGUCCUCUGUGAUGUGCACACCCAGGAACUUGGUGC
ensembl:lncRNA